rnacentral:lncRNA from 1 species
CAAUUAUUAGUGAGACAAAGCAUCUUUUCAUAUGUUUACUGUUCAUUUGUAUUUCCUCUUUUGUAAUUUACUAUUAUAGCCUGUUGUUCUAGUAUUUUGACAAGUAUUUCACGAAGGAUUGCCAGUGCUUCUCAACAGAAAGAAGUAACUAAUGUUAGAACUUCAGGUAAGGAGUCAAGGGAAUGUGGAAGAAUAUUUGUGAAGCAUGUGCCUUUAAGUGCCUAUCAAAUCCUAGAACUUUACGGGCUCUUGCCAGCAAUAACAAUAGCGCUGUGUUAUAUGCUCAAUUUGUAGAAAUAUGGGCUUCACCUUUGGUGGUAUUUCCAUUGUGAGGUAAGGAGUUUAGAAAAUCAGUGUGUUUGUCUAUCAGAUUUUUUGCUUUUCUUCAAAGUAAUCCCUCACAAUGUUCACUGAAAAAUAUUUAAGACUAAGUUACUGACCUCAGAGAUUUUAUUUAGGGUUUACAUGUCACUAUGCAAUCUGUUUUUCCCACAGGAAUUUAAAAUAAACACAUUAAAAUAGAAUUUACAUAUUUGAAAUUACAGUCUAAAAGCUGACUUAUUUUCUGGAGAUUUCUAUGGCCUAUAUUUAACUAUAAUAUUUGACACAAUUUAUUUCCCAAACCACGCUCUAUCUUUCUGAGAUCUUUAAUCCUACAGGGUAAAAUAAGACAGUUUCAAGUACAGCUCUAAAUACACACCUGUGUAUCCCUUUUGUGUCACAAUUCACAGUGGCUUUGUUGAUCUCUAAAGUACUAAAAAGAAUUUGAUUUUCAUGCCAUAAACACCAUUAUUCUGAACAAUUGAAAGAUGAGUAGGUGAGAGUCUGGGUAGUGUUGUUUUCUAAGCAAAAAUGGAAAAGCAAAGUUUCAGGAUCGAUUUUUGUCAGAUAUGUGAACACCCGUUCUAUAGAAUUUAGCUCCUGUUUUGACAGCUUAUUGAAUACUCCCUCAACUUUUCCCGCCUGUUAAUGUCUCCCAUUAAUUAAUACCCAUUCUCUGUUCACAGUUUUGAUAGAAUAGCAGUAGUUGUUAACACAACACUCAUAAUCACAAUUGUACAGGUAUGUAUUUUGUCUGUGUUAUGUGUAAGCCUCAGAUAUUAAAUAUUAGGAGAAAAGUAAAGUAAAAUUUCUAGAAAUAAAAUUGUUUUGUAAUAACAAUAAGAACGGUUUUUAUUUCAUUUUUUUCCUUUCCUUAUGCUGGUAUCAAACUCCAUAAAAUAUCUCCCUAUAUUUCCUUUAUUUUUUGUAUGAAUGAGACUACAAUAAUUGGAUUUAAAAUUUUUUUAAUACAUCUGGAAGACACUGUUUUGUUACUUGCUAGAACCGGGGAGCAACAUUUUACAAUGCAAAUAAUGGUCAUCAAGGGAUGUGACAUGUUCAAAUACAAUUUUUCCCUUAGGGUUCAAAGCAAUUUAGAAAUAUAUAACCUUUCAACAUUUUUAAAGUGUGCAGAAUUUUGGUACAAUGUUUCUCCAAAUUUUUAAGA